rnacentral:rRNA from 1 species
GAUGAACGCUGGCGGCGUGCUUAACACAUGCAAGUCGAACGGAGUACUUCUCCCGAGACUGAGGAAGCUUGCUUCUGAAGAAUCAUUUGAAGUACUUAGUGGCGGACGGGUGAGUAACGCGUGGGUAACCUGCCUCACACAGGGGGAUAACAGUUGGAAACGACUGUUAAUACCGCAUAAGCGCACAGUAUCGCAUGAUACAGUGUGAAAAACUCCGGUGGUGUGAGAUGGACCCGCGUCUGAUUAGCUAGUUGGCGAGGUAACGGCCCACCAAGGCGACGAUCAGUAGCCGGCCUGAGAGGGUAAACGGCCACAUUGGGACUGAGACACGGCCCAAACUCC